rnacentral:lncRNA from 1 species
ACAAAUCUAACAUCUACAUAAUGUCAUCUACUAUCUAAGCUUAAGUAGGAUAAAAAUUGUGCUCAUCAAUUCAGAUAGCAAAUCUUGGCUUCAUGGAUCCUCUAGCAAUUAUCUCCUAAAUAUUAUGAUGAUGAUGAUUUGUGGAGUUCUCUUCUUCCCCUGGAAUACUCUAUUGUUGCGGUCCUGCCAAAUCAUAUACCCACA